UCCCAGCGCAGAGCUCCCUCCUGGCGCAGCCGCUCCUCGGGGCACGGAGACACACUGCACCCAUGGGUCCCUGCUGACAAGGGUCCCUGGUCAGUUUUUGGCCGCCUGCCCUAAGCCAGAGACCCCUGACGGCACUCGGCAUCAGGAGCAACGUUCCCGGGGCAGAGGUAGCCGGGGUCACCCCGGGGCUGGGCCCCGCAGCAGCGGGGCACCCAGCCCGGCAGCAUGGCGGGGGCCACGUGGGACCCUCCACAGGGCAGCAGGAAGGGCAUGGAGCCCCCGCACCCCACCGGCCAGUCCCCUUGCUGAUGGUUGGCAGGUGGAGGAUGGGGCCCUGGGCCGUCCCGUGGAUGAUGCUCUGGCUCUUCUGCCUCCUGCCCUCCACCAGGGCCCAGACGAAGAUCCCGCUGGAGACGGUGAAGUCUUGGGCAGAUGCCUUUGGUGGGGAGCUGUACUCCAUCGUGACUAAGUAUUCAGGCUCUCUCCUGUUGCAGAAGAAGUACAAAGAUGUGGAGCCAACUUUGAAGAUCAAAGAGGUGGAUGGCUUGGAGCUGGUGAAGAAGUUCUCAGAGCAGAUGGAAAGCAUGCUCCGCAGGAAGGUCGAAGCCGUCGAGAGGUUGGUGGAAGCAGCAGAAGAUGCAGAUCUGAACCACGAGUACAACUCCUCACUGGAGUUUGAUUACUACAACUCUCUACUGAUUAAUGACAAAGAUGAAAAUGACAAUUAUGUUGAGCUUGGAGAUGAAUUCAUUUUGGAGCCAAACGAACAUUUCAACAACCUGCUGGUGAACACAACAUACAGUGAUAUCCAGCUCCCCACCAAUGUCUACAACAAAGACCCUGACAUCCUGAAUGGCGUUUACAUGUCAGAAGCCUUGAAUCCUAUUUUUGUGGACAACUUUGAAAGGGAUCCCACGCUGACCUGGCAGUACUUUGGCAGCUCCACUGGAUUCUUCAGGCUCUACCCAGGAAUAAAGUGGUUACCAGAUGAGAACGGAGUCAUCUCCUUCGACUGCAGGAAUCGUGGCUGGUACAUCCAAGCGGCCACAUCUCCCAAGGACAUUGUCAUCAUUGUGGACGUCAGUGGGAGCAUGAAGGGCCUGCGGAUGACCAUUGCUAAACACACCAUCAUCACCAUUUUAGAUACUCUGGGAGAAAAUGACUUUGUCAACAUCAUUGCAUACAAUGAUUAUGUUCAUUUUAUUGAGCCCUGUUUUAAGGGUAUCCUGGUCCAAGCAGACAGAGAUAACAGAGAGCACUUCAAGCAGCUGGUGGACGAACUGCAGGCAAAAGGAGUCGGGACUGUGAACAAGGCUUUGACAGAGGCCUUCAAAAUCCUGAGGGAGUUCAGAGACGCUGGUCAAGGAGGCUUGUGUAACCAAGCUAUCAUGCUGAUCACAGAUGGAGCAGUGGAGGAUUAUGAAGCCGUGUUUGAAAAAUACAACUGGCCAGAUCGGAAGGUCCGGGUUUUCACUUACCUCAUUGGACGAGAGGUCACUUUUGCCCCCAACGUGAAAUGGAUCGCAUGCAACAACAAAGGCUACUACACUCAGAUAUCCACGCUGGCGGAUGUCCAGGAGAAUGUGAUGGAGUACCUGCAUGUGCUCAGCCGUCCCAUGGUCAUCAACCAUGACCAUGACAUUAUUUGGACUGAAGCCUACAUGGACAGUGCGCUCUUUGCAUCUCAAGCUCAAAGUCUGUUGCUCAUGACAACAGUGGCUAUGCCAGUUUUCAGCAAAAAGAAUGAGACGCGAUCCCAUGGCAUUCUCCUGGGUGUGGUGGGCUCUGAUGUACCACUGAGGGAGUUGUUAAAACUUGCUCCACGGUAUAAGCUGGGUGUCCAUGGAUAUGCCUUUCUCAACACCAACAACGGCUACAUCCUUUCACACCCAGACCUCCGUCCUUUGUACAAAGAAGGAAAGAAACUGAAGCCUAAGCCAAACUACAACAGUGUAGACCUCUCAGAAGUGGAAUGGGAAGACCAGGAUGAAAUACUGAGAACUGCCAUGAUCAAUGGGGAAACAGGCUACCUCUCUAUGGAUGUGAAGGUCCCCGUGGAUAAAGGGAAACGAGUUCUCUUCCUCACCAAUGAUUAUUUCUUCACGGACAUCAGUGGCACACCCUUCAGCCUGGGUGUUGUGCUGUCCAGGGGACACGGGGAGUACAUUCUGCUGGGGAACACUUCAGUGGAAGAAGGUUUGCAUGACUUGCUCCAGCCAGACUUGUCCUUAGCGAAUGAAUGGAUUUACUGCAUCACUGACAUUGAUCCGGACCAUCGGAAGCUCAGCCAGCUGGAGGCUGUGAUCCGUUUCCUCACCGGAGAGGAGCCUGACCUGGAAUGUGAUGAGGAGUUGGUCCAGGAAGUGUUGUUUGAUGCAGUGGUCACUGCACCCAUGGAGGCCUACUGGACAACACUAGCUCUCAAUAUGUCCAUGGAGACUGAGGCAGGUGUCGAGGUGGCAUUUCUGGGCACUCGGGCUGGACUUAUGAGGAGUGCCCUAUAUGUUGGAUCUGAGAAAAUUUCCAACAGGAAAUUCCUGACGCGGAAGGAUAAGGAAAGCAUCUUCACCAUGGACCACUUCCCUCUGUGGUACCGCCGAGCGGCCGAGCAUCCCCCUGGGAGCUUCAUCUACAGCAUUGUUUCAGAAGAUGACUCAGAGGGAGGUGGCCUGCCAAAAGUGGUGACAGUGAGCACGGCUGUGGCGGUGUCUGUGGAUGGGAAGAUGGGUAUUGCUGCAGCGGUGGGUGUGCAAAUUAAGCUGGAGUUGCUCCAACGCAAAUUUUGGAUGGCCAUGCAACAGCCCAAUGACAGUGAUUGCAGUGCCUUGGACGGUGCCUGUCCACUAAGCUGUCAGGAUGAGAUCCUGAAUUGCUUCCUCAUUGAUAAUAACGGCUUUAUACUUGUUUCCAAAAGACCUGCAGAGACUGGAAAAUUUUUUGGUGCAGUGGAAGGCUCAGUAAUGACCCAGCUACUAAACAUGGGCAUGUUCAGGCGGGUGACCAUGUAUGACUAUCAAGCAAUGUGCAAAGUACCCUACCACCACCACAGCGGUGCCCGGCCUCUGCUCAGCCCAAUAUAUGCCUUUCUAGCUGCAGUGAAAUGGCUGAUAAGUGAUUUCCUCAUCUUACUUUUGGAGUUUAACAUGAGUAGCUUCUGGCACUCAGACAACUUGGCAGAUGCCAAGGCUGUCUUCCAUCACUCUCACAAGCACAAGAAGCACGACACCUUGCAGCCCUGCGACACAGAGUACCCUGUUUUUGUGUACGAGCCGGCCAUCAAGGAGACCAACGGGCUGAUCGAGUGCGGAGAUUGCCAGAAGAUGUUUGUGGCACAACAGAUCACCAGCAGUAACCUCCUGCUCCUCGUCACGGAUGCUACCUGUGACUGCAGUGUCUUCCCACCCGUCCUGCUGGAUGCGAAAGAAGUUAAAUAUAUCCUUCCAUACGCAGCAGGGAUGCAUGGCUCCCUCUUUGCUAGGGUGGAAAAAACCUGCUGCUGUGGCAAUUGCCACAGGGGUGGAGAGCAUGGCCUGAACUGUGAGACAGCCAGGAAGGGAGACACAGGGCAGGCAGGCUUGAGGUGUGGUGGAGAGGAGGUAACAGUCAACAUAGAAUCACAGAAUGUCCUCAGUUGGAGGGAACCCACAAGCAUCAUCGAGUCCAACUCCUGUCCCUGCACAGGACAACCCCACAGUUCACACCAUGUGUCUGAGGGCUUGUCCAGUCUCUUCUUGAACACUGUCAGGAUUGGGGCCAUGACACCUCCCUGGGGAGCCUGUUCCAGUGCUCCAGCACCCUCUGGGUGAAGAACCUUUUCCUAAUGUCCAACCUAAACCUCCCCGCCACAUCUUCCUGACAUUCCUUCAGGUCCUGUGUGGGGGACUACGAUGGGUCCGUGGAUUCCCUGACAGUCCUGCCCUCCAGACUCUGAAGAGGAAGCCAGUCUCCCCAAUCCAAGCUGCCAGAUGUGCUGUAUGAGGGUGAGGGUGGGACAGGCCAGGAGAAAGGUUCAGUGGUGGGGUGGGCACAGCCAGGCUGGCUCCUUGACAGUGCUCCCAGGUGCUUCCCUAACUCAUCCCUGUUGAGGCUUCAUCCCUUACUCCUCAUAAGGGCAGUGAUACGGCACAGCUUGUCACUGUGAUGGCGAGCCCUCUCCAUGCAUUUUGGCCACUGCCAUUUUUUCUUGCCAUGUUCUAGUGCUGGAGAUGUCUCCAGCCCAUGCAGGCUGACUUGUCCUCCCCACUCUGUCCCCUAGGCUGUGCAGUUACACCUGCACAACUUGCAUCAGAGCCCUGUAAGUCCAUGCAGCAUUCAUCCCCCUUUUCCCUUGCCCUGCUGCUGCCAGUGUUCUUAACAGCCUUGCACAUAACGCUUCAGUGAAGUGUGAACGGAUGCGCUCCCAGAAGCUGAGGCGGCGGCCGGACACGUGCCACGCGUUUCACCCCGAGGAAAAUGCCCAAGACUGCGGUGGCACUGCUGAGGUCUCCGUCUCACCGACACUGCUCCUCCUGCCCUUGGCGCUGCUCCUGCGGUGACACUACCUGCAACGGUGACACUGCCUGUGAUGGUGACACUGCCUGCAACGCG